GAACUGUGUAUGGAUUCUAAAUGCGUACAGAACACUGCUUACUCAAAGCAAUUCCCCAUAGAUAAGUAGUUCACCUAGUCCAGGUCCAGAGAGUCCUUCGGGCUUCUCGCCCCUAUGUCUUUGCCCGCUCUCCACCUGCAGCACCACCGGCUCUCCUUCCAUCAAGAUCAUCAUUGACGGAGUCAAUAUCAGCUCCAUCUUCGACUUCUGCAAGACUCCCGCAGGCGACCAAGGUGCCUACCCCUGAUGCAUCCGUGAGUGCAGCCUUCGAGACUACGUCGCUUACUGCAGUGUCGCCUAUAGUCACAUUACAGAUUUUGUAAAAUCAGACAUCGACACGCUCGUUAAUCACACUGCACUCACGCCCAUUUCUCAACCGACUCCAACAACAGAGGGUUCAACGGCAACGGGUUUAGGGUUUAGGGUUUAGGGUUUAGGGUUACAUGGGUGUCCUAGAGGUUUUUCAUCCUCAAUAUCUCUUAAUAUAUCACAGCUUUUUCUGUUUUAAGAUUUUGCCAAGGCUUAGAAUCACCCAAAGACCUCUACAAACGUUUUUGUUUUUCAAAAAAAUGUGUUUCGUUUUCUGUAAUUUAGGGUUUGGAAACCCUAAUUAGGGUCUCCACACCCUGAUUACAGUUCUCACUUGCAUAUUUUUUCUUAUCAAAGAACUGUGUAUGGAGUCUAAAUGCAUACAGAACACUGCUUACUCAAAGCAAUUCCCCAUAGAUAAGUAGUUCACCUAGUCCAGGUCCAGAGAGUCCUUCGGGCUUCUCGCCCCUAUGUCUUUGCCCGCUCUCCACCUGCUGCACCACCGGCUCUCCUUCCAUCAAGAUCAUCGUUGACGGAGUCAAUAUCAGCUCCAUCUUCGACUUCUGCAAGACUCCCGCAGGCGACCAAGGUGCCUACCCCUGAU
rnacentral:lncRNA from 1 species